AGAGUUUGAUCCUGGCUCAGAUUGAACGCUGGCGGCAUGCCUUACACAUGCAAGUCGAACGGCAGCACGGGGGCAACCCUGGUGGCGAGUGGCGAACGGGUGAGUAAUACAUCGGAACGUGUCCUGUAGUGGGGGAUAGCCCGGCGAAAGCCGGAUUAAUACCGCAUACGCUCUACGGAGGAAAGGGGGGGAUCUUAGGACCUCCCGCUACAGGGGCGGCCGAUGGCAGAUUAGCUAGUUGGUGGGGUAAAGGCCUACCAAGGCGACGAUCUGUAGCUGGUCUGAGAGGACGACCAGCCACACUGGGACUGAGACACGGCCCAGACUCCUACGGGAGGCAGCAGUGGGGAAUUUUGGACAAUGGGGGCAACCCUGAUCCAGCAAUGCCGCGUGUGUGAAGAAGGCCUUCGGGUUGUAAAGCACUUUUGUCCGGAAAGAAAACGCCGUGGUUAAUACCCGUGGCGGAUGACGGUACCGGAAGAAUAAGCACCGGCUAACUACGUGCCAGCAGCCGCGGUAAU
rnacentral:rRNA from 1 species